GUUGGAAAAGAUGGUUGGAACGAAUGGAAAAGUUGGUCCAAAUCCAAGAUUGGUAUCCAUAGAAUAUACUUUUAAAAGCGAUGGAUGAAACGCACAAUUUAAGAAGCGCCAAACAUUGGCAAACAUAUCUUACGUAUUCAUUCAAUACAUUAAUGAUGAUUCAAUCAGAGGUUUUCCUAGGAGUUUAUAUAAAUAUCCCUUAAAGCCCGGGCAGGGGCCGCGGAAUCGGGGAGGCAAUGGGGGCAUGUUCCCCCCACUUUUUUAAAAAGGG